rnacentral:rRNA from 1 species
GACGAACGCUGGCGGCGUGCUUAACACAUGCAAGUCGAACGGAAAGGCCCUGCGUUUGUGGGGUGCUCGGUGGGGGAACGGGUGAGUAACACGUGAGUAACCUGCCCUUGACUUUGGGAUAACUUCAGGAAACUGGGGCUAAUACCGUAUAGGAGCUCCUGCUGCAUGGUGGGGGUUGGAAAGUUUCGGCGGUUGGGGAUGGACUCGCGGCUUAUGAGCUUGUUGGUUGGGUGGGGGCUUACCAAGGCUUUGACGGGUAGCCGGCCGGGGAGGGUGACCGGCGACAUGGGGCCUGAGAUAGGGCCCAGACUCCAACGUGGGGCAGCAGUGGGGAGUAUUGCACAAUGGGCGGAAGCGUGAUGCAGAAGCGCUGCGUGUGUGAUGACGGCCUUUGGGUUGUAAACCGCUUUAGCCUGUGACGAAGCGUUAGUGACGGUAAUGGGUAAAGAAGCACCGGCUAACUACGUG